UGCUUUGACCCAUUUGUACCUGGGGGAUGGAAUCUGGCAGACCAGCCAUGCAGGGCUUUUUGUUAAGCACACCCAAAGGAUGCACAUUUCAGACAUCUUAAUGGACCAGAUCCUCACAAAAGAAUGAAAAGCAUUUGAAAACAGGAAACACAGAAGCAUGGAAGAAUUUGGUUUAAUGAAAAUAUAGGCUUCUGGAAACUCUACUCUGCCUUUAAUUCUCAUAUUUCAAAUAUUACAAUUGAAGGCUAAAGCUCUCAUGCUAUAAAGAUUGGAGCAUGUCUUUGAUUGGAGAGUGUGUUAAGCUGCAAAGCAAGCGAAGAUUUUUGGGAAGCCUGUCUGCUGUGCAGUGAACCUAGGAUACAGUCUUAGCUGACCUACUCUUUUGUCACCUGUGGAUUUUCUUGGAAGUUUUAUAGAGGGAAACACUGGUCACAUGUUUUUAAGUAUUUUUUAAAAAUUAAGCAGGCCUUCAUAAAUGUACAUUAUGUUAUAAAGUUGUCAACCAUUCUAUGGCUUUCUGUUUUUCCUUUUCUGUUCAAGGUUGUGGAAAUUAUACAUAUUUUGUAUGUCUCCAAAUAAACCACACAUCAGAGGAAAAUAUGUCUUUGCAUGUGAACAAUUUAAAAUCCCUUAGAAAAGCUUCAUAAAUCCCGAAUUUCCAUGGAGCAUAUCACAAAAACUGCUGAUCUAGAGGAAGGAAUAUGAGAGACAUUUUAAAAAAAGAGGAGUAAUAGUUAUACAUCUGUGCCUAUAUUAUAUAGAAAACAAAGUUAUGACCCAAGAAGAUUCCUAAAGAACAGGGGGAAAUCUGGGAAAAGGGAGUGAAAGAUUGCUAGCAGAUGGGUAUCAUAGGAAAAGUGCAUAAUAAAUCAUCAUUUACUCUGUAACACAGAGUUUCUCAAAGUGUUCUGUGAGCCACUUUUAUCAGAAUCCCUUGACAUGCUUGUUAAAACGAGGUUAACUGACUCUAGCCUGGCCUAAUUAAGUUAGACUGUCUGGGAGUGGGGUCCAGGGAUGUACGUUUUGUUUUGCUUUGGUUUUUGGUUUGUUUGUUGUUUUUUGUUUCUUUGUUUUUUGUUUUUGGGUUUUUGAGGGCACACUCAUGGCAUGCAGAAGCUCCUAGGCCAGUGAUCGAACCUAGCCACAGCUGCAACCAGAGCUGCAGUGGUGACAACACUGGAUCCUUAACCACUGAACCACCAGGGAAUUCCGGGGGAUGGGUGUCUAACAAGUUCCUCAGGUGAUUCUGAUGAACACCGAGCAAAGGAAUGCCUCUGAUACUGGGGGCAUGUCUACAGACUGGUAAAUGUUACAAAGGCAGCUUGCAUAUGUCAGACCUGGUCCCUACUGUAUAACAGAUAAUGUAGGAGGAAGGUCCUGGUGGCAUAGGAGGUGAUAAUGUCAGCCAUCUAAAAGGUAGAUGCAGGAGAUGCAGGAGACCUGGCAUAUGACAAGGAGCUUUAUAUUUUUGCAGGCCAGUUAAGGUAAUUAUGCUGGAGUUUAAGAGUGACACGAUUGCAGGGUACCAAAGGCUCACUUAGGUCCCACUGAGGGUUUCCUGCACCUGGCAGGACUUUACCUUGGACAAGGAGAUUGUUAUUGCCAUCUACAGAAGUCUCCAAUUGUAAGACUCAAGAAACCGUGCUGAAAUCCUUGGCUAAGAAUCUACUAUUCAUGCUUAUUGCAGUGAACUAUAACUUCUGUAAGCUUCAUGGGCCAGACUGGGCAUUUUGUCAAGCCCAAGGACCCGGUCCUCUGUGGGAAUGUCAGCUGCAUAAACGUCUUUAGAAGAGUGAAAUGAUGAUGGUACAGAAAGCAUGCACUCUACACACACACACACACGCAUGCACACAGACAUAAAACUAAGAAAGAGACUAAUUAUUUAGAUUAUUUGGGGACCCAAGUUUUAAACAUUUGAACAUUGAGUAGUAACAGUAAUUAUCCCCAAAGUUGCUUGUUGCAUGAGUAAUGAAUUGAUAUAUUCAUUCCUUCAACAAAUAUUUACUGAACACCUAAAUACCAAGUACUCUGUUAAAAGCUGAGGAUUCAAAGAAAAUUGGACUUGAUUAAUGUCUUCAAGACUUUUAGGAAAGAGAAACAUGGAAGCAACCUAUAAAAUAUACUAAGUGAUAGAAUGCAGAUAUGGGUUAAAAGAUACAUAAGGAGUAGUGUUAAUAGUCUUAAAACAAGAUAAGAAAGUUCCCUUUUUACUACAAUUAUAGCUAUUUCUGGUGGGUAGUAAUGCUUAAUUUUCUCCUUAGCAUUUAAAAUACAUUAAAGAACAGUCUCUACCCACUUCAAACUGUUCACUGUAGAUCCUCCUGACUUCACAGAUGAACACACUAUAAUUGAUGUGACUCUGCCUUAGAGUUUCUGAUUUUUGAAUUGAGACCUGGAUGUUUUUAGUGAUUUACAAAAUCCUCAGGGAAUUCAGCAGAUUCUGUCCUGUGGUUUUAAUCCUGUGCUAUGGAAAUACUUUUUCUAACAUUGAUCAUUUACUUAAUAUAUUCCUCAUGUGUAUCCUCUCAAAAGUGUAUUUUCUUCAUUGAACUUCUGCCCUACCUUUUUAAUAGAAUAGAUGCCCGCUGGGGCUUUUUCCUCAUACAUGUAGUCCAAACAUUUUGCAAAUAAGCAAAGACAGAAGACUAGUUCAAGAAGAUAGAGUCAAAGAAGUGAAUUGUUACACAAAGCUGUGUCCAUCCCGCUGUGCUAGAGUACUCUAUAUUAUUAUCCUGAAUAUACGUCCUGUUUCUCAAAGCACCAAAAUGUAACUUCAAUUCCCUGAAACUACUGAAAACUUGGUCAAGAGUGAAGUGGGGAGACAAGUAAUACUAGCACUAUGAAGACCAGAAAAUUGACUUGAUAAUCUUGAGAUUUUACAGAGCCCAAGGACUGGAGAUUCACACAUGUUCCCGAGGGCACACAGGUUACAGAACCUGCUCAAAUCUAGUCCUUAUGACCAUGUUGAAGGAGGACCCACUGGUGACAGAAAUAAUAAUUUUUUUAAGAAUGGCCAAAGAUACAUAAUUAUUAUAUACUUUCAUGGUAAUUAAAAUUCUGUGCAGGUUCAAAUAAAGCAUUUCUGUGGACUUGCAAGCCUUGAACAAGACUAUAGUCCUGUAUCAAAAUAGGAAUUCUUCUUCUCAUAGAAGAUCUUGGGAGAGUCAUAUCCUUUCACUGAAAACAAGUCCUACAGCUCAAAGUUAAAAAUAUUUUCUGAUUGACUUUUUUUUUCUUGGUUUUCAUGGUAUAUUCCUUAAAUUCAUGUGGUAAAGCAUCUACUCAGAGGCUGGCCCUGUGUUGAAAAAACAGUAACACCCUCUCCUCCUCCUUCAUUUUAUACUGAGAGGGAAUGAAGGAUUCAUCAUUACUACAAAGUAAAGUGAAAUAAUGCUUAGAAUAUAGAAUUCCAGUAAUAAUACUCAUCACAAAGAUGGUCAUGCUGUAGGUCAAAAUGGUAUUCUUGAAAAUUACAUAUAGGGUCUGGCUUGACUCUGGUAUGACUUUAGUUACAUACAACUUUAUCUGGUUCUACAUAGAAGCCCAUUUCUUACUGUGCUCCAAGUUCCGUCUUAACAUGAGCAGAAAUCCAGGCAAUCCGAAGAUGUAUAUGGCAGCCCUAGUGAUGAAAGUGAAACUAUCCUGAAUCUAAACUAGACCUCUUCUCUUUACUUGUGUCCAGGCCACCAUAUCUGUGCACUGACACGAGAGUGUUACCUCCAGUCACACAUUCAGGACCUCAGGAUGCCCUUUGGAUGCCCGAGGGCUGGGAGAAUUUCUAAACUCUACUUCUUAUCUGCUACUCUCUAUAAUUUCAAAUCACAAGAACACUAAAUUGCUAAAUAAGAGUCAGGAAAUCUAACACAAAUCUGAUUUUUUUUUUUCCCCUCCAUGAGACUGCUUUGAAACUUUCUUGGGAAAGAGUCAAUGCUAGAUUUUUUCACAAUAAACAUUCCCAUUUAAAGAUUAACUCACAUAAACUGGCACUAUAGGAGAUACAAAGAUAAAUAACAUAUCUUCCUUCCAGAUAUUUACAGGAACUCACUAACAUUACAGGAUAUUUUCCCAUUUUUGUAAGGUUUUAAUUGUUAGAAAGUUUGCUUUAUUUCCAUAGUCAUAGCAGAGUAAAUGCCAGAUACAGAUUUAGCAAAAAUAUAUGAUAGAAAUACGUCAGGAGGUAGAGCAAAGGAGAAUACACAUGUUGCAUGGUAAGAAAUACAUGAGUAACAUUUAAAACUGAAGGGUCAAGAAAUAGCAGUGUAAGUAUGUUAUUUAGAAAUAUGGACAGAAGAAAUGUCAGAGGUGUUGAAAAUGGUUGCUUCUGGGAAAUGAAAUGCAAGGAGUGAAUUUUCCCCCUGAAUCUGCUUCUUCAAAAUGAGCACUCACCUUUUAAGUUCCUAAUUGCCCCCUAAAUCUUGGUAUUUGUGAGCAGAAGAAAAUUAUGGUAACUGGACUUAUGUGGUGAUUAUUUUGUGACAUAUAAAAAUAUUGAAUCGCUAUGUUCUACACCUGAAACAGAUUUAAUAUUAUAUGUCAAGUAUAACUUCAUAAUUUUGAAAAAAGCAUUUGAGAGCAGGCGUUCAUAAUUUUUUUCUGUAAAGAGGGAAACAGUAAAUAUUUUUAGGCUCUGCAGGCUCUACAGCCCUGUUGGCACUAUACAGCUCUGCCAUUGUAGUGGGAAAGCAGACAGACAAUCCAGAUGAGUGUGGCUGUCUUUAGCAACAUAUUAUAUACAAAACAGGCCAUAGGCUGGAUUUGGUCCAUGACCAGUUUACUGACCCUGCCUUAGAACUAGGAUCACUGUAUAAAGUUGAACAACUUGUUCACAAAAGUGAGUCACCAAGGGGCUAAGUGGGAAUUCAAAUGCAGGUACUCCCUUAGCCAUAUUCUGUGCCAAAGUGUGACACUCUCUUUGCCCACAGAUAGAUGCACUUUCCUCUAUUUGCCCAGUGGGGUGCUUUUUUUCUUAUUGUACAUUAGAUAGAUGCUUCCCGUUCAGAACAUUAGAGAACAUGAAAAUAUUAAAAUGUUUGCAAGUCAUUAGUAGCACCCUGCAUGAAACUUGUAUUCUCCAGGCAAAAUAUCCCAGUCUGUCCAUUCUUUCCAUGACCUAGUGUUGAGUCACUUUAUCUUCCCCAGUGUGCCAAUAUCCCAAAACUAUACACAGUACUCCAGGAAUGGUCUGAGGAGUCCAGAGCCAUAGUGAUUGUGAUGAAUACAGAUGUAGGAUCAUGUAAGUUCUUGGACAAAAUGUCUACCAUGGACUCAUAAUAAGCUUGCUGCCAACAGAAUGCUCUUGGUCUUUUAAACAUGUCUUGCUAUUAAGUAUAGUUCUUUUAUGUUAUACUUCUGCAGGUGAGUUGUUGGACUCCAGAUUUAGACUUUAUACUUAUUUCUAUGAAAUUACAUUUUAAAAGAAUUGGUUCAAUUGUUUUAGACAGUUUAGAAGGAGGCCUUAGCUAUUUCCUAUCACUCCAUGGAAUCUCUAGGUUUGAUAAGCCCACCACCCCUCCUCUUAUCUAAAGCACCCAUCAAAAUGUUGAAAAUGAUAAAAGGGCAUAAGAGAUUGCUGGUUCUGGAGUUCCCAUCGUGGCUCAGGAGUUAACGGAUCUGACUAGGAACCACGAGGUUGUGGGUUCUAUCCCUGGCCUUGCUCAGUGGGUUAAGGAUCCGGUGUUGCCAUGAGCUGUGGUGUAGGUUGUAGACACGGCUUGGAUGCCACAUUGUUGUGGCUCUUGUGUAGGCCGGUGGCCACAGCUCUGAUUUGACCCCUAGCCUGGGAACCUCCAUAUGCUGCGGGAGCGGCCCUAUAAAAAGGCAAAAAG
rnacentral:lncRNA from 1 species